rnacentral:rRNA from 1 species
UACGGGGGGGAGCAAGCGUUUGUUCGGAUUUACUGGGCGUAAAGGGCGCGUAGGCGGUCAGCACAAGUCAGUUGUGAAAUCUCCGGGCUUAACUCGGAAAGGUCAACUGAUACUGUGCGACUAGAGUGCAGAAGGGGCAACUGGAAUUCUCGGUGUAGCGGUGAAAUGCGUAGAUAUCGAGAGGAACACCUGCGGCGAAGGCGGGUUGCUGGGCUGACACUGACGCUGAUGCGCGAAAAGCCAGGGGAGCGAACGGGG